rnacentral:rRNA from 1 species
UGGGGAAUCUUAGACAAUGGGGGAAACCCUGAUCUAGCCAUGCCGCGUGAGUGACGAAGGCCCUAGGGUCGUAAAGCUCUUUCGCCAGGGAAGAUAAUGACGGUACCUGGUAAAGAAACCCCGGCUAACUCCGUGCCAGCAGCCGCGGUAAUACGGAGGGGGUUAGCGUUGUUCGGAAUUACUGGGCGUAAAGCGCGCGUAGGCGGACUGUUAAGUCAGGGGUGAAAUCCCGGGGCUCAACCCCGGAACUGCCCUUGAUACUGGCAGUCUUGAGUUCGAGAGAGGUGAGUGGAAUUCCGAGUGUAGAGGUGAAAUUCGUAGAUAUUCGGAGGAACACCAGUGGCGAAGGCGGCUCACUGGCUCGAUACUGACGCUGAGGUGCGAAAGUGUGGGGAGCAAACAGGAUUAGAUACCCCCGUAGUCC